AUGUGGAGGGCAGACAGCAAAAUUACCCUGACUGAGUUAAUUUGAGGGGGGCUAGAAGCCAACCUGUGCCUUGGAUUUUGCACCUUGCUUCCCAGCAAGGGCUGCAGUCACGUGUCUGCAGGUUUCCAUAUGUUUCCAGCGUCCAGAGAUGCUGUCACCACUGAGUGCCUCAUAAAACCCCAAGAUCCCUGGCGAGAAUCCUCCUUUGGAUUUCCUGGCCUGAUGAACAGCUGUACCUCAUUGCAGUUUGCAGGCAAACUGGUGCUCAGCCUGGAACUAAAACCACUGUCUUAAAUAUUCAGAGACUUGGGACUCAGCAGGAUCUUGACACUGCACUAUUUAUAAAAGAGUAAUUGUGGUUAGAUUUCAUAAUAUAAGAGCUUGUGUUGGGAGGGGAACCAAAGCAAGGUAUGUGUGUGUGGUGCUCCCUGGAUC